rnacentral:rRNA from 1 species
GACGAACGCUGGCGGCGUGCUUAACACAUGCAAGUCGAACGGAAAGGCUCUGCUUUUGUGGGGUGCUCGAGUGGCGAACGGGUGAGUAACGCGUGAGUAACCUGCCCUUGACUUUGGGAUAACUUCAGGAAACUGGGGCUAAUACCGGAUAGGAGCUCCUGCUGCAUGGUGGGGGUUGGAAAGUUUCGGCGGUUGGGGAUGGACUCGCGGCUUAUCAGCUUGUUGGUGGGGUAGUGGCUUACCAAGGCUUUGACGGGUAGCCGGCCUGAGAGGGUGACCGGCCACAUUGGGACUGAGAUACGGCCCAGACUCCUACGGGAGGCAGCAGUGGGGAAUAUUGCACAAUGGGCGGAAGCCUGAUGCAGCAACGCCGCGUGCGGGAUGACGGCCUUCGGGUUGUAAACCGCUUUCGCCUGUGACGAAGCUUGAGUGACGGUAAUGGGUAAAGAAGCACCGGCUAACUACGUG